rnacentral:rRNA from 1 species
UACGAAGGGUGCAAGCGUUACUCGGAAUUACUGGGCGUAAAGCGUGCGUAGGUGGUUUGUUAAGUCUGCUGUGAAAGCCCCGGGCUCAACCUGGGAAUGGCAGUGGAUACUGGCAAGCUAGAGUGCGGUAGAGGGUAGUGGAAUUCCCGGUGUAGCAGUGAAAUGCGUAGAGAUGCGGAGGAACACCGAUGGCGAAGGCAGCCCCUGGGCUAGCCACUGACGCUCAGGCACGAAAGCGUGGGAGCAACAGGG